rnacentral:misc_RNA from 1 species
GAUGAAGAACGUAGCGAAAUGCGAUAAGUAAUGUGAAUUGCAGAAUUCAGUGAAUCAUCGAAUCUUUGAACGCACAUUGCGCCCGCCAGUACUCUGGCGGGCAUGCCUGUUCGAGCGUCAUUUCAACCAUCAAGCCCCGGGCUUGUGUUGGGGACCUGCGGCUGCCGCAGGCCCUGAAAUGCAGUGGCGGGCUCGCUGUCACUCCGAGCGUAGUAGUUACAUCUCGCUCUGGGCGUGCUGCGGGUUCCGGCCGUUAAAAGCCUUAUUUACCCAAGGUUGACCUCGGAUCAGGUAGGAAGACCCGCUGAACUUAAGCAUAUCAAUAAGCGGAGGA